rnacentral:rRNA from 1 species
UACGUAGGGGGCAAGCGUUGUCCGGAAUCAUUGGGCGUAAAGCGCGCGUAGGCGGCCCUGUAAGUCCGCUGUAAAAGUCAAAGGCUCAACCUUUGAAAGCCGGUGGAUACUGCAGGGCUAGAGUCCGGAAGAGGCGAGUGGAAUUCCUGGUGUAGCGGUGAAAUGCGCAGAUAUCAGGAGGAACACCGAUGGCGAAGGCAGGUCUCUGGGCCAUAACUGACGCUGAGAAGCGAAAGCAUGGGGAGCGAACAGG